rnacentral:rRNA from 1 species
CCUACGGGUGGCAGCAGUGAGGAAUAUUGGUCAAUGGGCUUACCCCUGAACCAGCCAAGUCGCGUGAGGGAAGACUGCCCUAUGGGUUGUAAACCUCUUUUGUCAGGGAGCAACGCCGGCUACGUGUAGCCGGACUGAGAGUACCUGAAGAAAAGGCAUCGGCUAACUCCGUGCCAGCAGCCGCGGUAAUACGGAGGAUGCGAGCGUUAUCCGGAUUUAUUGGGUUUAAAGGGUGCGUAGGCGGAAUAUCAAGUCAGCGGUAAAAAUUCGGGGCUCAACCCCGUCGUGCCGUUGAAACUGAUGGUCUUGAGUGGGCGAGAAGUAUGCGGAAUGCGUGGUGUAGCGGUGAAAUGCAUAGAUAUCACGCAGAACUCCGAUUGCGAAGGCAGCAUACCGGCGCCCAACUGACGCUGAAGCACGAAAGCGUGGGUAUCGAACAGGAUUAGAUACCCGGGUAGUC